rnacentral:lncRNA from 10 species
GAAAUACUCUGAUACUAGCUAUGGUCAGCAACAUUUAAUGAAAACCCUUAUGUUAAAAAUAAACCCCUGCCUCCUGGCUUCAAGCGAUUCUCCUGCCUCAGCCUCCUGAGUAGCUGGGAGUAUAGGCACGUACCACCACACCCAGCUAAUUUUUUGUAUUUUUACUAGAGAUGGGUUUCACAGUGUUAGCCAGGAUGGUUUCGAUCUCCUGACCUCAUGAUCCGCCCGCCUCGGCCUCCCAAAGUGCUGAGAUUACAGGCGUGAGCCACUGUGCCCGGCCUCAAAAUCUUAAGAAAAGGUUCUUUUGGUGCAUGGAGUUUUACAUGGAAUAAAUUAGUGCCUCUGCAAUUUAAAUAUUUUUUACACAGAUUUGAUGCUGUGCAAAUGCCCUCUCCCCUUUUAGGUGUUGCUUGUUCAGUAUCUCAAGCCCAGAAAGAUGAAUUAAUCCUUGAAGGAAAUGACAUUGAGCUUGUUUCAAAUUCAGCGGCUUUGAUUCAGCAAGCCACAACAGUUAAAAACAAGGAUAUCAGGAAAUUUUUGGAUGGUAUCUAUGUCUCUGAAAAAGGAACUGUUCAGCAGGCUGAUGAAUAAGAUCUAAGAGGUAAGUUCUUACAGUGUCUUAAGUUUUAUUACUGCUCUAGUUGAAUGAAGCUCUUAAUUUACUAAAAGACUUAAACUGAAUUUGUAGUAAUAGAAAAUGGAGAGUUAAGCAUUCUGGAACACAGUAAAUUUGACAGAAUAAAAGAUGGAAUUGGCAUGCAUUUUACUACGUAUAGUUUACUAUGAAUCAGUAAGUCAUAGUCUUGAGGUAUGUUUUAGAUUAUUUAGAAUAGUACAGAAAAAAGAUUAGUACUUUCCUGGGCAAGUGUAUUGAUGGGGAUUUACAGAUUUUUUUUCUUUUUUUACAGUUACCUGGCUACAGAAAGAAGAUGCCAGAUGACACUUAAGACCUACUUGUGAUAUUUAAAUGAUGCAAUAAAAGAC